GAGCCUGGUGGGGUUUGGCCUCCGGUAACGCUCCCUGUCGGCCGGGGAACCAGGCGCCCCCUGGUGUGGAGUGACCCGGCUGUCUGGUUUCUCUGGUGCUGCGUCAUUCGUCUUGUGGCCGGUAGGGCGCUGGCAAGGUCCGCCUGGUGUCGGCUAGAAAAUUUCUCAGUUCCCCGGCCAGGGAUCCAACCUACACCCGCUGCAGUGGAAGCACAGAGUCUUAACCACUGGACCACCAGGGAAGUCCCCCGAUUACAAUUUCAUAGGACAGUAGCGGGUCAUGGACAAUUUUUCGGGUUUCUUUAUUGUCAUCAGAAGUUGACAUGAGGACCACAAUGAGAGAAGAGACCUCCUGCAAAAAGGCAAGUUGCUUCUCAUGUUCCUUUGCAUCUCCAUGAAGAUUGAUGAAGGUCAGGCAGUUGUCAAACCUGUCCUGAUCUUCACCCCCAGGACAGAACCAGGCAACUUCCACCACACCUCCCAUCAAGAGACAGUCUGUGCUGCUCCCUUUGCAAUGUCGGUGAAAAAAGACAUCAUGUUUCCUUUUACUGAGAAGACAGUUCAUGAUCUGAGAUUUGGAGGCAGAGAAGCCGUUUCCAACUCUAAUAAAAGACACAAUGGGGGUAGAGACACGACACAUCUGCUGAUUUUUGUAAUUGUCCUUCUCCUCUUUUAUUGAUUUCCCUGCUUGCUGCCAGCUCCUCCUAAUUUGACUGAGAGACCAGAGACAGAAUUCAAUUUGAGCAUUGCAAGGAUUAGGUAUGAGAAGGGGAAGGGCAAACUGACAAAUGGAAAGUUUGGCCAAAAUGUAUUGUCUGGCAAAAUCAUCUGCACAGUGAAGAAUUGCCAUCUGUAUAUCCAUAGGGUGAAUGUAGGGCCUGGCAUUAGUGGCUGCUGAAGGAUUAGUGGUGCUAUUACUGUCUUCAAAUAGAUCUUCAUAUGGAUCAAAAGCCUCCUUUUCUUGAUUUGAGGUGCUUGGAUAGACUUGCUUCUCUGUGUAUUCAUCAUCCUUGAUGAUCAGGUAUCUCAGCCCAUAAUCCAGCAUCAGUAGCUUCUGUAGGAAAUAGUAGGGAAGCUCUCUUUCAGAGCAGGGCUGGGUGUUGUACACAGGAUUCUUGGAGAUCACAUGGAAGUUAGCUCUGCUCAUCGUUUUUGGGUAGUAAUGUUCUAGGCCUAAACGCUGGAGUAUUUCUAGGAAGGCUCUAUUUUCUAUGACCUCCCGUUUGUUACUUUCAUUAUCAUGUGGUUCAUGGGGCUCUUUCUUUCCAUGGAAAAGACUUUGCAAUUGUUUUUUCACAUCCUCCAUUUGCAAUGAAGAGACGGUGGCCUCAUAAUCCCCAUCAAUGAGCAAUCUCAAGUCUUUUUCUAGGUUUUCCCAAUCAUGAUCUGCCCCAAGUUUGGUGAGGACAUGUACAACUUCUUUAGACAAAGAUUGUCCCAUGUGACGUCUUACUAAUGCCAAGCGUUCUGUUUUCUCCUCUGGAGAAGCAACUUUGAUGCCAAGUGUAGCUGUCAGACCUGUGAGCACCAGGAAUGCCUGAGCCUUGUAGUUGCAAAUAUUUUUGAGCUCUUGGUAUUUAUCUAGGGCAGUUUGCAUUUUAUCCAGUAGGAAGUCUAACUCAUCACACCCAAGGAGAUACUGAAAUGUAUUGUUUACCACAUGAUAUCCUGCACCAGCUGCAAUCAAAAGUAGCAAGAUGUGUGUGUCUGGCUGCCCCGUUUCUUGGAGGUAUCUCAAGAAGCAGCCAAGAGACAAGCUGACCUCGUAAGUCACCUUGCUUUGAGCUUCCUCCACUGAUUCUGUGGAUUCAGACUUGGCCUUUACUUCCAUAAGGUCAUUCUGGGUUUUUUUAAAGAUUUUAAUUAAUUCAGAAAAUUGGGUGAUAUUGACAUUCUCUUCCUCUGGUUCUGACUGAAAUAUCCACUGCAUGAUGGAAUGAGCCUGAGGAAAGUUUGUCACUUUGUAGAUGUGAGGAUCCAAAAGGCUGCACAACUGAGAUUUAAUAAAUUUAGUUUCAUAAAUGGAAUACUGUUUGCAGAAGUUGACAGUGUCUACCAGAAAAUUCUGCAGACUCCUAUCUGUGAGGCAUAUAUUAGUCCAAGCGUUAUAACUUUUUAUUUUUUCACUUAAUCUUUGCAUGAAAUUUAUCAGCUUUUUAAGCUGCUCUUCAGGAUCAGAUACCUCCCAGGAUUUCACAUCCUCUAGGAAAAGCCUAGCCUCCUUCUGAACACUCAGUAAUUCUUCUCCCUCCUGGAUCUGGGCAGUAAGACCAGUCAGAGCAGUGUAGCUGUCUUUCAGGCAGUUAGCUACCUGAUAAGGAUCCUUAAAAUCGCUUCGGUGGCUGGUGAGGAUGAUGUCCCAAACGGGCACCAGCUGAAUUCCCCGGUCAAUGACACACCAGGUUUGAUUAUUGGCAACUAGGCCAGCUUUCCACUGUGAAAGGCCAUUUGCUUCUGGUGGGCCACCUGUCUGGGCCACAGAUAAUUGGACUUUGGUUUGGAGAUUUUGGAAGGUUGUUCCCUGAGAGGCUGUUUUUGAAUGAGAGUCUGACACAUCCACACCUGCAGCAACAUUCACUCCAAAGCCACUGUAGCUGCCCCUUAUGUAAAUAUCCAGGGCCUCUGCAGCUUGCUGUUUCACUUCUGCCAGCUGCUCACUUUGGAAGCCCUCUGAAAUGGCUUUCCACCAGUAGAUUCCUCCCAGGUGCAGAGGGCCCUGGUUAGCAUGAGAACCAAACUUGUGGAAGAAGGCUUCAGUCCUGCGCCUCAGCAAGGGAAGUUUGUCUGGGUCUUCUGGCUGACCUGAAAGGUCUUCAAUGCAUUUCAGUUCCUGUAGAGCUGCCCUGGAGAACUGGAGCUGGUCAGUGGGAAAGUGGCAGGAGGCCAGUGGGAUGUAGUUGAACUUGGUUGAGCAGAAGUAAGAGUGCUUAGAAUGUGACUGUUGGGUUUCCUUGGAUUCUGAAUGUUUGCUCUGAUUCAUAGCAGCUUCCAGGCUAAAUCCCCAACCUCCACCCUUUGCUGAGGCAGUUACACUGAAGCCCAGCUUCUCUACAGCCUGGGUGAACAUGGAUUCUUUUUGAGAAGAUGUAAAUUCCUUUGUUUCCAUCCGUGUACUCUGCUCAGGGCCACAGAGUGAGAACUCCUUGGGGACACUGAGUAGCUCCUCUUUCUUCUCUAUCAGGCUCCUUUGGUUACUGGUUUUGUAAAUUCCCUGAAGGGCUAGUCCUCCAGAUGCAUGUCGCACCAGCUCUCUAUCUGGAAGGUUCUUCCUGUGAGACAGUGUCCCCUCCAUAAGUUUGAGUUGUCCCAGCAUGUUUUCCAUGAUGUCUCUUAGGGACUUUUCGGGACGUGGCCAGAACUCUUUGGGGAUCUCCAUUGCCUGCAUCAGCUCUGCUUCCUUUUUCCUCACUGCCUCUUCCUGUCGCUGCCUCCCUUCUGCCAGCAUCUCUCUUAGCUCCUGCAGUGCCUGUUCUGCCUGCUUCUGCCUUUUCUUUAUUGUUUCCACCUGAGACUCCUGUAACUCUGAAAGAGUAUUUGAGUAUGACAGGUUAAGCAGCUUCUCCAGGGCCCUUUUCUCCCAGGGAUGUUGUGCCUGGGAUUGCAGCUUCUGGAGUUCUUUUUCUUCCAGGUGUUGUAAGGCUUGGGCACAGGUCACACCCAGGUGUUCCUGCAGCUUGGGCAACCAGUACUCAACUGCCAAUCCUGCUUCUCUCAACAUCUCUUGGAGAUCUUGCCCAUUUUUGCCUCUGAGCAGGAGCUCAUUAGGGGUAGACUCUUCUGUGUCCAUGGCUGUGGGACGAAAAGACACUCAGUUAGCCUUUGGCAUGUUAAUAUACAGAACUCUGUGAUUAAUUUGCAGAAAUCUGAUGCUUUUCUAAACACUAAUAAUGAACUAUCAGAGAAAGAAAUUGAGGAAGCAGUCCCAUUUAUGAUCACAUUAGAAAGAAUAAAAUAUCUGGGAAUAAACUUAAUCAAGAAGGUGAAAGACCUAUACUCUGAAAACUAUAAAUACCGAUGAAGGAAUUUGGAAAUGAUACAAAGAAUUGGAAAGAUAUCCUCUGUUCCUAGAUUAGAAGAAUUAAUGUUGUUAAAAUGUGCAUACUACACAAAGCAAUCUAUAGAUUUAAUGCAAUCACUAUCCAAAUACCCAUGACACUUUUCACAAAAGUAGAACGAAUAAUCCUAAAAUUUAUUUGGAACCACAGAAGACCAAAUUGCCAAAGCAGUCUUGAGAAAAAAAGAAAGCUGGAGGUAUCACAUUCCCUGAUUCAGACUAUACUACAAAGCUACAGUAAGCAAAACAGCAUGGUACUGGCCUAAAAACAGACACAUAGAUCAAUGGAACAGAAUAGAGAGCCCAGAAGUAUAUCUACACACUUAUGGUCAGUUAAUCUACAACAAAAGAGGUAAGAACACAAUGGAGAAAAGACAGUUUCUUCAAUAAGUGGUGCUGGGAAAACUGGACAGCUACAUUAAAUGGGCAAAAAGACCUAAAAAAUGGGAUUAGCAAAAAAUGGGCAGAAGACCUAAAAAGACAUUUCCCUGAAGAGAUGGCCAACAAGCAUGUGAAAAGAUGCUCAACAUUGCUAAUUGUUAGAGAAAUGCAAAUCAAAACCACAAUGAGGUAUCACCUCACACCAGUCAUAAUGGCCAUCAUCAAAUAAUCUACAAAUAAUAAAUGCUGGAGAGGGUGUGGAGAAGAGGGAACAUUUGUAUACUAUUGCUGAGAAUAUAAGUUGGUUCAGCCACUAUAGAAAAGAUUGUGGAGGUUCCUCAAAAAUUAAAAACAGGACCACAAUAUUGUCCAGCAUCCACUUCUGGAUAUAUAUCCAAAGGAAGUGAAGACAGGGAAUUGAAGAGAUACAUGCACUUCCAUGUUUAUUGCAGCAUUAUUCGCAAUAGCCAAGAUAUGGAAACAGCCUAAGUGUCAGUGCAUGGCUUAACAGAUAAAGAUUUACUACACACACACACAGUGGAAUAUUUAUAUUAUUCAGUCAUGAGAAAGAAGAAAAUCUUGCCAUGUGUGUGUGACAACACAGAUGGACCUUGAGCGUAUUAUGCUGAGUGAGAUAAGUCAGACAGAGAAAGACAAAUCCUGUAUAAUAUCACUUAUAUGUAGAAUCUAAAAAGCCAAACUAGUAAAAACAGAGAGUAGGAUGCUGGUUACAAGGGGUUGGAAGGUGUAGGAAUUAGGGAGAUGUUGUUUAAGGGUACAAAUGUGCAACCAGUAGAUAAAUAAGUCCUAGACAUCUAAUGUUCAGAUAGUGAUUAUAAGCAACAUACUGUGUUAUAAACUUCAAAGUUACCAAGAGACUAUAUCUUAAUUGUUCCCACCACAGUAAAGAAAUGAUCAUGUGAUGUGAUAAAGGUGUUGGCUAACUCUAUGUUGGUAAUAUUGCAAUAUAUAAAUGUAUCAAUUCAGCAUGGUGUAUACCUUAGACUUAUGCAAUGUUAUAUGUUAAUU